rnacentral:rRNA from 1 species
AGCUAAGAAUAUUCCGCAAUGGACGAAAGUCUGACGGAGCGACGCCGCGUGGAUGAUGAAGGCCGAAAGGUUGUAAAAUCCUUUUGCUGAGGAAGAAUAAGUGUGGGAGGGAAUGCCCGCAUGAUGACAUGAAUCGGCGAAUAAGCCCCGGCCAACUACGUGCCAGCAGCCGCGGUAACACGUAGGGGGCGAGCGUUGUUCGGAAUUACUGGGCGUAAAGGGCAUGUAGGCGGUUAUGUAAGCCUGGCGUGAAAGGCCACAGCUCAACUGUGGGAUUGCGUUGGGAACUAGAUGACUAGAGUUACGGAGAGGGAGCUAGAAUUCCUGGUGUAGGGGUGGAAUCUGUAGAGAUCAGGAAGAAUACCGAUGGCGAAGGCAAGCUCCUGGCCGAUGACUGACGCUGAGGUGCGAAAGUGUGGGGAUCAAACAGGAUUAGAUACCCUGGUAGUCCACACUGUAAACGAUGUGCACUAGGUGCUGGGGCGGAUGCUUCAGUGCCGUAGCUAACGUGAUAAGUGCACCG